CAAAAGAUAGUUUAAAUUAAAAUAUUAAUUUUGGAUAUUAAUGAUAUAGAUUAUUUUAUUUUUUUGA
rnacentral:tRNA from 1 species